GUGCUUGCUUCAGCAGCGCAUAUACAAAAAUUGGAAUAAUGCAGAGAUUUGCAUGGCCCCUGCACAAGGAUGACACAAGUUUGUGAAGUGCUCCAUAUUUUA